ACAACUGAUAUCUCGUGCGCUGAAGCACAGCGUGAGCUAAGGGCAAUUUCAGAAACUGUCACAGACCCAGAUCGAAUUGAUCUUUCAAGAAUGAACAUGCUGCUGCGUGCAACCAUUCAAAUACGGCAGCAAAAUCCAGUUGAGGAGCUCCCUGUAUACCUUCUGAAUGCAGCUGUGGACCAGCAUGAUACCAGCAAGCUUCUUCUAGGGCCGUGUGUUAUCAUGGAACCUGGAUCAGAAAGAAUUGUAUGCAAGAAACAGACUGUGCGCCUUGUGCCUGGAUGUUCCGUUGAACGUGGACUGAUUCUGUGUUUGACUUUUUGUUUCAUACUUGAUCUCGUAUCCGCAUGCGUU